UGCCUACGGGGGGCUGCAGUGGGGAAUUUUGGACAAUGGGCGCAAGCCUGAUCCAGCGACGCCGCGUGGAGGACGAAGGCCUUCGGGUUGUAAACUCCUUUUGGAGGGGAAGAAUAAAUUGACGGUACCCUCAGAAAAAGCCACGGCUAACUACGUGCCAGCAGCCGCGGUAAUACGUAGGUGGCGAGCGUUACUCGGAAUUACUAGGCGUAAAGCGUAUGUAGGUGGUUAGAUAAGUCUAUGGUGAAAUUUCCUGGCUUAACUGGGAAGGGACAUAGAUACUAUCUGGCUUGAGUGUGGGAGGGGGAGACGGAAUUCCUGGUGUAGCGGUGAAAUGCGUAGAUAUCAGGAGGAACACCGAUGGCGAAAGCAGUCUCCUGGCCCAAUACUGACACUGAGGUACGAAAGCUAGGGUAGCAAACAGGAUUAGAUACCCGUGUAGUCUU
rnacentral:rRNA from 1 species